rnacentral:rRNA from 1 species
CGACCGGCGCACGGGUGCGUAACGCGUAUAGAACCUACCUUUUACAGGGGAAUAGCCCAGAGAAAUUUGGAUUAAUGCCCCAUAGUAUUAUAGAAUGGCAUCAUUUUAUAAUUAAACAUUUAUGGGUAAAAGAUGGCUAUGCGUUCUAUUAGCUAGAUGGUAAGGUAACGGCUUACCAUGGCAACGAUAGAUAGGGGUCCUGAGAGGGAGAUCCCCCACACUGGUACUGAGACACGGACCAG